rnacentral:misc_RNA from 1 species
GAUGAAGACGUAGCGAAAUGCGAUACUUGGUGUGAAUUGCAGAAUCCCGUGAACCAUCGAGUCUUUGAACGCAAGUUGCGCCCGAAGCCAUUAGGCCGAGGGCACGCCUGCCUGGGCGUCACACGUCGUUGCCCCCCCAUCUACUCCUUCGGGAUUGCGGGGGGCGGAUGAUGGCCUCCCGUGCGCCUCGUCGCGCGGUUGGCCUAAAUGCCAAGUCCUCGGCGACGCACGCCACGACAAUCGGUGGUUGCGAAACCUCGGUUGCCUGUCGUGUGCGGUCGUCGCGCAUCGAGGGCUCGAAAAAAUUGCCGGGCUUCGGCUCGACUUUCAACGCGACCCCAGGUCAGGCGGGGUUACCCGCUGAAUUUAAGCAUAUCAAUAAGCGGAGGA